GAUGAACGCUGGCGGCGUGCCUAAUACAUGCAAGUCGAGCGAACGGACGAGAAGCUUGCUUCUCUGAUGUUAGCGGCGGACGGGUGAGUAACACGUGGAUAACCUACCUAUAAGACUGGGAUAACUUCGGGAAACCGGAGCUAAUACCGGAUAAUAUUUUGAACCGCAUGGUUCAAAAGUGAAAGACGGUCUUGCUGUCACUUAUAGAUGGAUCCGCGCUGCAUUAGCUAGUUGGUAAGGUAACGGCUUACCAAGGCAACGAUGCAUAGCCGACCUGAGAGGGUGAUCGGCCACACUGGAACUGAGACACGGUCCAGACUCCUACGGGAGGCAGCAGUAGGGAAUCUUCCGCAAUGGGCGAAAGCCUGACGGAGCAACGCCGCGUGAGUGAUGAAGGUCUUCGGAUCGUAAAACUCUGUUAUUAGGGAAGAACAUAUGUGUAAGUAACUGUGCACAUCUUGACGGUACCUAAUCAGAAAGCCACGGCUAACUACGUGCCAGCAGCCGCGGUAAUACGUAGGUGGCAAGCGUUAUCCGGAAUUAUUGGGCGUAAAGCGCGCGUAGGCGGCUUUUUAAGUCUGAUGUGAAAGCCCACGGCUCAACCGUGGAGGGUCAUUGGAAACUGGAAAACUUGAGUGCAGAAGAGGAAAGUGGAAUUCCAUGUGUAGCGGUGAAAUGCGCAGAGAUAUGGAGGAACACCAGUGGCGAAGGCGACUUUCUGGUCUGUAACUGACGCUGAUGUGCGAAAGCGUGGGGAUCAAACAGGAUUAGAUACCCUGGUAGUCCACGCCGUAAACGAUGAGUGCUAAGUGUUAGGGGGUUUCCGCCCCUUAGUGCUGCAGCUAGCGCAUUAAGCACUCCGCCUGGGGAGUACGACCGCAAGGUUGAAACUCAAAGGAAUUGACGGGGACCCGCACAAGCGGUGGAGCAUGUGGUUUAAUUCGAAGCAACGCGAAGAACCUUACCAAAUCUUGACAUCCUUUGACAACUCUAGAGAUAGAGCUUUCCCCUUCGGGGGACAAAGUGACAGGUGGUGCAUGGUUGUCGUCAGCUCGUGUCGUGAGAUGUUGGGUUAAGUCCCGCAACGAGCGCAACCCUUAAGCUUAGUUGCCAUCAUUAAGUUGGGCACUCUAAGUUGACUGCCGGUGACAAACCGGAGGAAGGUGGGGAUGACGUCAAAUCAUCAUGCCCCUUAUGAUUUGGGCUACACACGUGCUACAAUGGACAAUACAAAGGGCAGCGAAACCGCGAGGUCAAGCAAAUCCCAUAAAGUUGUUCUCAGUUCGGAUUGUAGUCUGCAACUCGACUACAUGAAGCUGGAAUCGCUAGUAAUCGUAGAUCAGCAUGCUACGGUGAAUACGUUCCCGGGUCU
rnacentral:rRNA from 1 species